rnacentral:rRNA from 1 species
UACAGAGGUCUCAAGCGUUGUUCGGAAUUACUGGGCGUAAAGGGCGCGUAGGCGGCCUGUUAAGUCGAACGUGAAAUCCCCGGGCUCAACCCGGGAACUGCGUCCGAUACUGGCAGGCUCGAAUCCGGGAGAGGGAUGCGGAAUUCCAGGUGUAGCGGUGAAAUGCGUAGAUAUCUGGAGGAACACCGGUGGCGAAGGCGGCAUCCUGGACCGGCAUUGACGCUGAGGCGCGAAAGCCAGGGGAGCAAACGGG